GCCCUAGUUGAUUCUCCUCUCCCUCCUCUUCCUAUCCCACCCCUUCCAUCACCACCGAAUUGUCCGAAGACGGAGACGAUCUUCUCCCACCCCCCUGGAUGCCACCACUGUUAAAUCAUCCAAAGAUGGAGAUGGAGACGGUCCUCUCCCACUCCCUCGAUGCCACCAUCGUCGGAUCAUUUGGAGACUGAAAUCAAAGAAUGAAAGGAUCGCAGAAGAGGAGAUUAGGGGUCGAUGGGAGAUGG
rnacentral:lncRNA from 1 species